GACGAACGCUGGCGGCGUGCUUAACACAUGCAAGUCGAACGGAAAGGCCCUGCUUUUGUGGGGUGCUCGAGUGGCGAACGGGUGAGUAACACGUGAGUAACCUGCCCUUGACUUUGGGAUAACUUCAGGAAACUGGGGCUAAUACCGGAUAGGAGCUCCUGCUGCAUGGUGGGGGUUGGAAAGUUUCGGCGGUUGGGGAUGGACUCGCGGCUUAUCAGCUUGUUGGUGGGGUAGUGGCUUACCAAGGCUUUGUCGGGUAGCCGGCCUGAGAGGGUGACCGGCCACAUUGGGACUGAGAUACGGCCCAGACUCCUACGGGAGGCAGCAGUGGGGAAUAUUGCACAAUGGGCGGAAGCCCGAUGCAGCAACGCCGCGUGCGGGAUGACGGCCUUCGGGUUGUAAACCGCUUUCGCCUGUGACGAAGCGUGAGUGACGGUAAUGGGUAAAGAAGCACCGGCUAACUACGUG
rnacentral:rRNA from 1 species